rnacentral:tRNA from 1 species
CGCCCUGUAGCUCAACGGUCAGAGCCGAGCUCUCACAAGGCUCGGGUUGCAGGUUCAAGUUCUGCCGGGGCGACCA